AUAAAUCAGUAAACAGAGAAUCGAAGUUGGAUAGAUUAAGAUGGUGUAGGGAUCUGGAAUCCCCCUUGAUGAUAUUAUUUUCAACAAUUAAAUUCCAUGAUUCUUGAUUAAGGAUCAAUCAGAUAGAAUAGUUCUAAUCAUGGAGUAUAUAAUUUGAAAUCAUGAAUUCAAGAUCUAAGUAUUUAUCGUGCCGAUUACGUCUACGACAAAUCAAACAUCGAAACAAUCCAUGAAUCAAUAAAUAUAAACC
rnacentral:lncRNA from 1 species